UUUUAAUUUCCGCAGUAAAUUUUCGAAUGGAUGAAAACAUCUUACAACAUGUGCAGGCUGUCCUGAAGAAUGAAGGAGGAUUGUUAGAGAGGAAUAUGCCAACCAGAACUGCAAUUAGGAGUCAUUGACAGGAGGAACCUUUGUGACUUGUACGAGGAUGAAGCUUUCAAGCACCACACGCUACCUUAUCAACAUGCUUGAAGAUGAUCUGAGCCUGAGGAGGGACAAAGGGCCUAGUGAUCGACUACCUUUGUAUCUGCAAAUAUCGACAAUUCUGCGUUUGUAUGCUGAUAAUUUCAGGGAAUACAUGGUGAUGAGACAUCAGCUGUUGAGUGAUCAAAGAUGUUUCGCAAGCCAUAGCAAGAAGAAAGGUUUUGUGAGAACCUCAACAACCAGAGAUGAGAUUGAGGCUACCCAACAACAACUGUAUGAGCGUUGUGGCCCAGUGGAUUAGUCUCCCGGACCUUGAAACAGAGGGUCGUGGGUUCGAAUCACAGCCAUGGCGUAAUUUCCUUCAACAAGAAACUGAUCCACACGGUGCUGCACUCAACCUAGGUGAGGUAAAUGGGUACCGGUAGGAAGUAAUUCCUCAAGAAGCUGUGAACGCCUAGCUUAGCCGGGUAAUAUAGGAGCGCCUUGAGCACCUAAUAAGGUGGAUAUGUGCGCAAUAUAAAUACCCUAUAUUAUUAUUUUGAGUACCAGUACUACAGGAAUUCAAUAGUCAUAGGUGUGAUC